GGGGAUGACAUGGAUUCGACGGGGGUAGCGAAGCAAUAGAGUGCAUACCGUGAUUUCAGUAACCACGCAAAACACUGAAUUAAAUAUAAACGCAAACGAUUCUGAAUUUGCAUUAGCAGCUUAAGUCUGCUAACGUUACUUUGAUUUGUUUAUUGAUCAAAAUCUAACGUCAUACCAAAUAAACUUGAGGCGCUGUUUGCUAUUAAUUGCGCUUGAUCACCCAAAUAGCUAGUUGCGGUUACAGCCUGUUAUAUCGGCGGUGACUGGACGAACAAACAUAGAUGUAACUAAGUAUGUAGGACUCGUUGUAGAGGACUUUCGGACGGGGGUUCAAUUCCCCCCAUCUCCACCA
rnacentral:tmRNA from 1 species